ensembl:lncRNA
CAGAGCGAGACCCUGUCUCAAAAAAAUAAAAUAUUGCCUUGAGGAAGAGGGGAACUUCAUGGUCUUCUGUCCCUAUUUAUUCAAAAUACUUUUGAGCCCCCAUUUUGUGUAUAAAAUCUUGCUGAAAGUAUUGUAGUACUUACGUAGACAAAUAUACACUGUAUGGGAUUUAAAACUCAGGAACGAGGGAGACAAGGAAAUAGCAAACUAACACUGCAUAAAUUGAUGCUGCAGUUAGUGAGGGAAGUCUAAAAGACAUAAUUACUUCUGAGAGUAGAGGAGGCAUGAAAAGAUGAGGAUGAAUUCACGAGAACAAAGUGGUUAAGCCAGCUCUGAAGGAUUUUGUCUUUUGGAUGGUUGGGGGAGCUGGAGUGAGGGACUUGCUUUGAACUUGAUCUGACACAUAUCUGGCCCUCAGGAAAGGUCAAGAGCAUAGGUUACGGGCACUGGGGAAUCAGCAAGCUAGGCCUCCUGUUUUUUGUGAAGCCAUGGGGUGGAAGAACACUAGAAACAAGCAAAUGAGGAAUGAUUGGCAAAUGACAAUGGCUCCACAUGAACUUAAAAUAGAACAGUGCUUUUUAUCCUCCAACCUAAUUGAAUUUAUUUCCAAUCACAGAUUCUAUCACACUUUUUCAAUUCUGAGCCUCUUUUCUAAUCUUUGCCUGGCCUCUAACUGAGGUCUAAAUCAAUUUUCUCCUCUUACUGCAGGUGGCAUUUAAUUCAGGAAGGCUCACAGACCCUCCUCCCCCACCAGCCUAAGUUGGACAUCCUGCUUCUAUUUCUAAAGGAACCUAUACUUUUCUAUUCAAAGCGCUUAUCACCCUAGAUCUUAAUUGCUUUUUUCUAGGAUUAGAAAGUGAACUCAUCAGCUAAGAGGAAGGGAGAGAGAAAAAGACUGGGUAUACCUAAUGGUGUCCUGGCAAUGUCACAGGCUUUGUUGCUAUGAAUCACAAAGAAGAUUUUUCGUGCUUUAACUUGGCAUGUGUCCCACGGUUGCACAUUUAAGAAGACCCUGUCCUUUCACUCCUCGGGAGGAGAACGAAGCAGCUUCUGCGGGCCUCUUCCUUGUCUGCCCCUUGCCUGCUCCCUAGGCUCUGUGUCCCUCACUGGCCCUGCCACUUCCACCUCUGUUGGCCCACUGCCCUCUCUCCAAGUCCUGCCCUCAGCCUACCCUUGCCCAGCUGCUCAUCCUUGUACCCCAC